GAUGAACGCUGGCGGCGUGCUUAACACAUGCAAGUCGAACGGGAUCGGCUGGAGCUUGCUCCGGCCGUGAGAGUGGCGAACGGGUGAGUAAUGCGUGACCGACCUGCCCCAUCCACCGGAAUAGCUCCUGGAAACGGGUGGUAAUGCCGGAUGCUCCGACAUGACGCAUGUCGUGUUGGGAAAGAUUCAUCGGUAUGGGAUGGGGUCGCGUCCUAUCAGGUAGUCGGCGGGGUAACGGCCCACCGAGCCUACGACGGGUAGCCGGCCUGAGAGGGCGACCGGCCACAUUGGGACUGAGAUACGGCCCAGACUCCUACGGGAGGCAGCAGUGGGGAAUAUUGCACAAUGGGCGCAAGCCUGAUGCAGCGACGCCGCGUGCGGGAUGACGGCCUUCGGGUUGUAAACCGCUUUUGACUGGGAGCAAGCCCUUCGGGGUGAGU
rnacentral:rRNA from 1 species